rnacentral:rRNA from 1 species
CCUACGGGAGGCAGCAGUAGGGAAUAUUGCUCAAUGGGGGAAACUCUGAAGCAGCAACGCCGCGUGGAGGAUGACGGUUUUCGGAUUGUUAACCCCUUUUGUUAGAGAAGAUAAUGCCGGUAUCUAACUAAUUAGCACCGGCUAAUUCCGUGCCAGCAGCCGCGGUAAUACGGAGGGUGCAAGCGUUACUCGGAAUCACUGGGCGUAAAGAGUUCGUAGGUGGCAUGUAAAGUCAGGUGUUAAAGGCGCAGGCUCAACCUGUGUAUGGCACUUGAUACUUACAAGCUGGAAUGCGGUAGAGGUAGAGGGAAUGUCUGGUGUAGCGGUGAAAUGCUUAGAGAUCAGGAAGAACAUCGUGGGCGUAGGCACUUUACUGGGCCGUAGUUGACGCUGAGGAAUGAAAGCCAGGGUAGCAAAUGGGAUUAGAUACCCUAGUAGUC